UACGUAGGGUGCAAGCGUUGUCCGGAAUUAUUGGGCGUAAAGAGCUCGUAGGCGGUCUGUCGCGUCUGCUGUGAAAACUCAGGGCUUAACCCUGAGCUUGCAGUGGGUACGGGCAGACUAGAGUGCGGUAGGGGAGACUGGAAUUCCUGGUGUAGCGGUGAAAUGCGCAGAUAUCAGGGAGGGAACACCGGUGGCGGAAGGCGGCUCUC
rnacentral:rRNA from 1 species